CUCUAAAACAGUCUCUGUUUAUUGUUAAACACUUGAGAGAUUGUGGUCAUAAUUCACUUCAAACCACGGUGAGAAAAGGUAAAAACUAAGACAAACAACAAAUGUAAAAAUACAGUACAAAAAGAGGCCUUGUUUUUUUCACUUCUUAUAAUUCUGGUUCCUAUUCCAUGUUGUUGAAAAUAAUCCAUAACUCUGAUCGAAAAUUUAAAUUGAUAUCAGCAAAUUGUGCGUGUGGAUAUGGGUGUGCAUGUCAAUUCACACAUAUUUUUCUUCUUUUAAUACAGGGAAAAUGGUGUGAACUGAGGUUUACAAGCAUGUAUUCGGACUUCUACUUGAAAAGAUUAACAGGAAAAAAUAAAUCACAUCUGACUAUGCUUUUUGGGGUCAAAGCCACUUCUUAAACCAAAACAAAUGAGUCAGUCAUGAUCAAAUGCAGUUCUCUCUGUGGGUAUUGAUACCAUCAUGUCAGACCACUGUUCUUUCCUCCAAUCCUCUCUAAGCACAAGGCGAGAUACAUUAUUAUUAACCAUUGAACACUUCUAAAGAUAGCGGUCAGAGGUGACAAGCCUUUGUUUGUUUACAGCACACUUGUCCUCUGCAGUAGAGGGAACUAUGGGUCUUCCGUUCCUGUGACGGUCCUCUUGAGAGCCAGUUCCAUCAUAGCACUUGGUUUUUGCGACUGCACUUGAAGAAACUUUCAAAGUUCUUGAAAUGUUCUGUAUUGACUGACCUUCAUAUCUUAAAGCAAUAAUGGACUGUCAUUUCUCUUUGCUUAUUUGAGCUGUUCUUGCCAUAAUAUGGACUUGGUCUUUUACCAAAUAGGGCCAUCUUCUGUAAACCACCGCUACCUUGUCACAACACAACGGAUUGGCUCAAACGCAGGAAAGAAAUUCCACAAAUUGACUUUUCACAAUGCACACCUGUUAAUUGAAAUGCACUCCAGAUGAGAGAAUGCCAAGAGUGUGCAAAGCUGUCAUCAAGGCAAAUAUAUUGUUUUGUUUAACACUUUUUUGGUUACUACAUGACCAUUCAUCGAGCAAGUGACCUUGGAUGUGUCCUGU
ensembl:lncRNA